rnacentral:misc_RNA from 1 species
AGUCGUAACAAGGUAACCGUAGGUGAACCUGCGGUUGGAUCAUUAUCUAUCUUGUCUAGCUAGGAGGUUAAACUUUGGUUUAACUAACUAGUCAAGACAUUAAAUAAUGUGACUUGAUUGUGAAUGUUAAGCAAUUGACGCUAACAAUCAAGAAACAACCACACCAUGUGAAACGUAUUAUAAACUCGACUCUAACUAGUCGACUCUAUUGAGUUGGUCUAGGAAGAGUCUUGAAUUUUAAACACCAACAUAACCAAGUGAAUCAAUUUCUAGAAGUAGAAUUAAAAAACAACUUUUGACAACGGAUCUCUUGGCUCUC